rnacentral:lncRNA from 1 species
AGUUGGUUUUGUGGACGAUGUUUCUUUAGCAUUAUGUUAGUCUCUAUCUGCAUGAGAUAUGUGCAUGACACAGCACCAUGUUUAUAUGAAAUCUCGCCUUACACUUGCAGUCAGAUGUGAUUUGCUUGUAGCUGGCCUAUAACUCCUCCGAUGAACUCAAACCCUAGAAAGAAAUAAAAUAAUGUUGCCCGGGCUCCUCAUUUUGCUAGGUAGUCGCGUGACUUAACUUUCCUUGUCUAGUCCAAUUGUUAGUCUCACUGUAGUAAUCUGUUAACUCUCUUUAUCCUGAAGUACUGCUCUCCCUGCCAGCUUUGAUCUAAACCACAACAGGGAGAGGACAUUCCACUCUGAACUCUACUCUAUUGCUAGCUUCUUCUUAGACAUAUAGGAAUUUGUUAUCUUACUUAUAUGUUAGUCAUGCUCUUUGUGUGAUGGCUUCUCUGGUGUUUUGGAUUUACUAUGUGGAUUGUAGUGAUGAUGGUGAUGUCAGCCGUGGAAUCAUGACUGGAUAAGAUAUUUAUAGCUGUGCAUAUGUUGCUUUUAAUAUCUGAAAAACAUCUCUUCGGUGUGAGAUUUUUAGCUGAGCCCCCUUUGUCGACAAAACUAUUAGCUGUUGGGAACUGCAGUAAACCAUUAUUCUAUCCCUUAAACUAGCCAAAGAUUGUUAAGUCCAUUAAACACUGUUUGCACUUUGCAAGAACCUUUGUGAAGGGAAUUCCUUUUUCUUUUUUCACAUUUACUCGUCCCUGUUGAAGAAUAUAUCUUUCCAUCACUGUUUUUAUGUACUUUACUGUUUGAUUUAUUUUCCUGGCUCCCAUAUUUUUACGAAUCCAAAUUGAGGGUACUUUCUGCUAUUUUACUUGGAAUAUCAGCUUUAGCAGUGGCAAAUAAAGAAAUGCAUUCUGUUUCCCAGGAUUAACUCAUGGCUAAUGGUUAAGUGUGAUACCUUUGAAGGGUUUUGAUAUGUUAUUGUCUGUGAUGAACAGAAAUUGCCCCAUUGACUUGAGUUAAGUGUGAUACCUUUAAAGGGUUUUCAUAUGUUAUUGUAUGUGAUGAACAGAAAUUGCCCCAUUGACUUGAAGGAAGCAAUUACCAGUGUAGUGUUUGCUUCACCAAGAUGUGGAGACAUACCAGAACUUCUAGAUGUGCGGAAGCAUUUU